CCUUAGAGUUUGAUUCCUGGCUCAGUAAUGAACGUUGGCGGCGUGGAUUAGGCAUGCAAGUCGAAUGCGAAAGGGGGCAACCCCAAGUAGCAUGGCGAAAGGGGCAGUAACACCUAGGCAAUCUACCCUCGGGUCCGGGAUAUGCGGCGGAAACGCCGAGCAAUACUGGGAGUCGUUUGGGGACGGCAUCGUUCCUUGAUGAAAGGUCCGCUGCCCGAGGAGGAGCUUAGGUCCCAUCAGCUAGUUGGUAGGGUAACGGCCUACCAAGGCUCUGACGGGUAGAGGGUGUGAGAGCACGACCCUCGCCACUGGCACUGAGACACUGGCCAGACUCCUACGGGAGGCUGCAGUCGAGAAUCUUCGGCAAUGGGCGAAGCCUGACCGAGCGCGCCGCGUGGUGG
rnacentral:rRNA from 1 species